AUAGUCUGAAAAUUAUCAUAGACCUUUUUUAAUGGUCUUUGAUAAGAUAACUGUGCCUAAAGUAAAAGUGCUACAUAAACUUGUUACUAAUGUAUAUUUGUGGGUAAUAAAACCCAUGGGCCUACAUCU